GUCAUCUGCUAUGCAGUAAAGUUGCAUGCGAAAUUCUGAACAAGAAGUUAUGUGAAUUCAUAGGAGUUGUAUUUUUUGCAUUUUAUGAGUUUGUAACAGCUAUGAGUUAUCAAUUCUGUGCCUCUGAGCAGAGGUUCAACCACCAGGUGGCCAUCAGCGAGCACAAGUCGGCCUGUCCUUGGGUGGCGGCGCUGUCCCAGCUGUGAGGAUACGAAGGGGAAAGCAGCAGCUCACCUCUGGUCACCAGUGUUCAUUUUAAGGCUUCUUGAUUGUUGUCACUACUCUCGCUACUGAUGAGCUCUUGAUUUCUGCUAUUAAAGCACCAUGUAUUUUUUGUAUGAGCUUAUUCUUUGAACAAGUAACUGUGCUAUAUUUUGAAAAGCA